GCUGAUAUAGCUGUGCCACACCAACAUGAGUGAGAAAGUGAAAGAAAAAAAGAAAAGAAGGGUCAAUAUACUACUACUCGAGCAACUUCACCAAAGUCAGACUUCACCUCUCUCUCUUUUACCAGUAUUAGACUUCACCUCUCUCUCUCUCUCUCUCUCUCUCGCUAUAACCAAUAUCACUCUCUCUCUCCUUUUCUCACCAAAGUCGCCAUCUACAAAAAUACAGGGCCCAAAAUCGGAAGCAAAAUCAGCACCAAGAGAGGUAUUCAUACACAUAUUGUAUAUAUGAUGUACAUAUAUAUGUAUAUAUUUAUGCCCUAAAACUGAUUUCAAGAUUUUGAAACCCAUUUUUUUGAUGAUACUCUUCUUCUCUCUGUUUGCUUCACAAAACCCAUUUAAUCUUUCUCUUAUGCUAAGCUCAGAUUCUCAUAUUUAUCAUGAUGUAACUUUAUAUUGUGAAUGUUGUUCAUUUGGGUGCCAACUAAAUGUGGUAUUGAAAAUAGAAAAACUUUGGUAAUGAAUGAAUAGAAAUUAACUGAAUGUGAUUGAGCUGUAUAUUGUAAGCCUGCUGCUGGCCUGCUGCGGUGCUGCCCCUCUGGUGAUAAUUUUUUUGGCUAGAAUCAUGCAUAAACAUCUAUGGUAUUCUGGAAUUUAAAUUGUGAACUUGUGGUGUUUGAUAAAUUGUCUCAAAGAUGUUCAAGUGUUUUAAAACUAAUUAUUACUCAAUAGUUGGAGUAUGUUCAAGAUGUUCAAGUGUUUCAAGAGUUUUAAAACUAAUUAUUACUCAAUUGUCUCAAAUUGUGGUUUUGUUGAUCUUGACUGAGAUAAUUUGGUCCAAGUUUUGUGCAUGUAAAUAUGACUGUUUAGGUGCUUUUAACUUGUAUUAGUAUUCGAUCCAAUAAGACAUCUCAGUUGCAUAUUUUCUGACUACUUUAUGGAUUUUGUUAUUUGUUUUGUGGCUCUCUAAAAUAUUGUGAUAAUAUAUUAUUGUUUCACUUUAUGGUUCAUUGGUUUGCAGUUUGAAUGGUUCAGAAAUUUGUCUUACCAAAUGAGAAUAGAUGAAAAAAGGAAGAAUCUAAAAAAAAGUCUAAAUCUUAAUUAAAUUUGUGAUUUAGUUGGUAGCAAAUGUUUUGCAUUUACACAAUAUUCACUUUCUAUUUUUUUUCAACCUUUUCAUUCAAAUAUGAACACCCACACAUACACACUCACAUACUGAUAUAUCAUGAGUACACUUUCAGUCUUUUUUAUGAUCCUUUUUAAAAAAGUAUUUCGUAAGAGAGUAUAAUUGUAUUUAAAUAUUUGUUAGAAUUCAAUACUACUAAAAGAUGUUUGACGGUAGGUCACUAAAAUGUUUUUUUGGGAUUAAUUAUAACCAAUUAGUUCAGAGCUGUUAGCUAAAGUCCCAAGGACCUUAGAUGGUUUUAAUGAACUUUAGUUAAGUUGAUUGAUUAAUUAAAAACCAAAUAUAAAUGCACUAUAGUAUUGUUGUUUAAACAUUGCUCUAAAGGCUGCCAAGUUUAAAUUUCAGGGCACAAAAAUUUGUCCACAAACUACAUUCCACAAACAUUUUGCAUAUUAUUGUGGUUGUUUUUAGAUAUAAACUCAAAAGUCUACACUGCAGUUUUGCUAGAUAUAUAUAGUUUGUAAUUUCAGUCUCAUGCUUCUAAUACAGGUCUGGAUUUUUGUUUAUCUGUUAUUUUUGUAGAAAAACAACAUGGCAUCAGGAAGCAUGAUAGAGAGUAACGAAUUUGAUUUAAGGAUGCGGUUUCUUGGAAAGGUGCAAAGCUAUAAAUGAAGAAAAAUCAUCAGCAACUAUUGAAAUGAGAUGAGAAAUGAAAUUAUUGAAGAAAUUAGUUUUUUUAAUACUUAUUCUCUGUUUGUUUGUUAUUAUGAAAAACUAGUUGUCUUAUGUUGGAAGUUGUAAUGGAAGUGAAGUUGUGAAAAAAAUUGUAAUUGUUUAAAUCUAAUGUAGUUUGACAUCACAAAUUUAUCUCUUGUGCACGACUAUAUAUUGGUUGUGCAAGUGUGUGGUUUUGUUCUCAUG
rnacentral:lncRNA from 1 species